UGGAACUGAAGUUACAGAUGGUUGUGACC
rnacentral:piRNA from 1 species